GUGACUACGUCUGCAUGACUGCUUAGAGCCUAAAAAGAGAGAACACCACGUUUCUUGUUCAUGUAUGAAAACGGAAGACGACAACUGUCAGUUUUCCAGGUCUUCAGCUAAAGCGUCGCGGAUGAAUUGUAAGACAAUGUACAGUGAAGCGGGACAAAGCUUGUUAUGCAGACGGAAGAGCCAUAUGGCAGACACCCGGAUACACAGGACGCCUGGCUGCCAAGAGUGCUCAGUGUGGCUGUGUGCUACCACAACAGCUUCUGCCCCAGCCGCUGAGAACUGCCUCCUCCUACUGAGAAACCGAGCCUAAAAGUGGACAUUUAUGAGGCCCACCAGCCAGGUAUCUAAGAGCCAACAAGUUACAGAAGAGUGACUACCUGCUGAUUCCAGAGGCACCACGUGGAGCUUAAUCAUGCUGCCGAUGUAGGUUG